rnacentral:rRNA from 1 species
UACGUAGGGUGCGAGCGUUGUCCGGAAUUAUUGGGCGUAAAGAGCUUGUAGGCGGUUUGUCGCGUCUGCUGUGAAAUCGUCAAGGCCUCAACCUUGAGCUUGCAGUGGGUACGGGCAGACUAGAGUGGUGGUAGGGGAGACUGGAAUUCCUGGUGUAGCGGUGAAAUGCGCAGAUAGUCAGGGAGGAACACCUGUGGUGUAGACAGCUUACGUGGACCAUUUCAUGACGCUGGAGACACGAAAGCCGUGGGUAGCAAACAGG